UACGGGGGGGGCAAGCGUUGUUCGGAAUUACUGGGCGUAAAGGGCGCGUAGGCGGCUUUUUAAGUCGGUUGUGAAAGCCUGAAGCUUAACUUCAGAAUGCCAGCCGAUACUAUUGAGCUAGAGUUUGGAAGAGGUAGCUAGAAUUCCCGGUGUAGCGGUGAAAUGCGUAGAGAUCGGGAGGAAUACCUGCGGCGAAGGCGGGCUACUGGGCCAAAACUGACGCUGAGGCGCGAAAGCUAGGGGAGCAAACAGG
rnacentral:rRNA from 1 species